rnacentral:scRNA from 1 species
GGCACCUGCACCACAGCAAC